rnacentral:rRNA from 1 species
UACGUAGGCAGCAAGCGUUGUUCGGAAUUACUGGGGCGUAAAGAGUGUGUAGGCGGUGCUCUAAGUUCGGUGUGAAAUCUCCCGCUUAACUGGGAGGGUGCGCCGGAAACUGGAGUGCUUGAGCGCGGGAGAGGAAAGCGGAAUUCCUGGUGUAGCGGUGAAAUGCGUAGAUAUCAGGAGGAACACCUGUGGUGUAGACGGCUUUCUGGACCGUAGCUGACGCUGAGACACGAAAGCGUGGGUAGCAAACAGG